rnacentral:rRNA from 1 species
AUUGAACGCUGGCGGCAUGCUUUACACAUGCAAGUCGAACGGCAGCACGGGUGCUUGCACCUGGUGGCGAGUGGCGAACGGGUGAGUAAUGCAUCGGAACGUGCCCAUGAGUGGGGGAUAGCCCGGCGAAAGCCGGAUUAAUACCGCAUACGCCCUUAGGGGGGAAAGCGGGGGAUCUUCGGACCUCGCGCUAUUGGAGCGGCCGAUGUCGGAUUAGCUAGUAGGUGAGGUAAAGGCUCACCUAGGCGACGAUCCGUAGCUGGUCUGAGAGGAUGAUCAGCCACACUGGGACUGAGACACGGCCCAGACUCCUACGGGAGGCAGCAGUGGGGAAUUUUGGACAAUGGGCGCAAGCCUGAUCCAGCCAUGCCGCGUGAGUGAAGAAGGCC